rnacentral:rRNA from 1 species
GUCUCUUUGUGUGUUAUAAAUAGAGAGUCGGGCCUGCUCGGUGAACAAUAAGUGUUUUAACAGCUGCGGUAUUUUAACUGUACUAAGGUAGCAUAAUAAUUUGCCUUAUAAUUUGAGGCUAGAAUGAAUGGUUUGACGAAGGUUAAUCUGUCUCUAUCUUAUUUUUUAGAAUUUAAUUUUUAUAGUGAAAAAGCUUGAAUUUUUUAAAGGGACGAGAAGACCCUAUUGAGCUUGUAAUUUUAUUGUUGUUUUGUUGUAUGGAUAUAGUGACAUAUAAAUUUUAAUUGGGGUGAUUAAGGAAUAAGAAAUAAUUGAAGUAACUUCCUUAGGUGAAAUAUUGUUGGAUGAAGUAACCAAUAUUAUUGCUUAUAGUAUAGUUACCAUAGGGAUAACAGCGUAAUUUAUUUAGAGAGUUCUUAUUGAAAAAUGAGAUUGCGACCUCGAUGUUGGAUUAAAGUAACCUUAAGGUGCAGAAGCUUUAGAAGGUAAAUCUGUUCGAUUUUUAAAACUUUACA